rnacentral:rRNA from 1 species
UUGGGUUAAGUCCCGCAACGAGCGCAACCCUCGACCCUUAGUUUGCCAGCAUUCAGUUUGGGCACUCUAAGGUGACUGCCGGCUAAAAGUCGGAGGAAGUGGGGAUGACGUCAAAUCAUCAUGCCCCUUAUGACCUGGGCUACACACGUGCUACAAUGGGCGGUACAAAGGGUCGCGAACCCGCGAGGGGGAGCCAAUCCCAAAAAGCCGCUCUCAGUUCGGAUUGCAGGCUGCAACUCGCCUGCAUGAAGCCGGAAUCGCUAGUAAUCGCGGAUCAGCAUGCCGCGGUCGAAUACGUUCCCGGGCCUU